GCCACCAGCUGGCACCAUAAACAGACACCAUACUUAAGUUGGACAAAUAUAUGAUAGCUAAAGCAAGAUUUUUUUUUUCUUUCACAUCAGUUCGUUGCAUAAGAAUUAUUUGCAGGUAUAGAAACAAUUUCCCAUCAGUAUUUAGUAGUGCUGGAUGAGAUUUCUAAAUAACAUCAUUUUGUUGGAAAACUAUUUGUGGUUGACAUCUAUACAUCUAUAUAUCUAUAUAAAUAUAAUAAAACAGGUCUCCAAAAUAUAUGUGGC
rnacentral:misc_RNA from 1 species